rnacentral:rRNA from 1 species
AUUAAACGCUGGCGGCAUGCUUUACACAUGCAAGUCGAACGGUAACAGGUCUUCGGAUGCUGACGAGUGGCGAACGGGUGAGUAAUGUAUCGGAACGUGCCCAGUAGUGGGGGAUAACUACUCGAAAGAGUGGCUAAUACCGCAUGAGAACUGAGGUUGAAAGUGGGGGAUCGCAAGGCCUCACGCUACUGGAGCGGCCGAUAUCAGAUUAGGUAGUUGGUGGGGUAAAGGCCUACCAAGCCUGCGAUCUGUAGCUGGUCUGAGAGGACGACCAGCCACACUGGGACUGAGACACGGCCCAGACUCCUACGGGAGGCAGCAGUGGGGAAUUUUGGACAAUGGGCGCAAGCCUGAUCCAGCAAUGCCGCGUGCAGGACGAAGGCCUUCGGGUUGUAAACUGCUUUUGUACAGAACGAAAAGACCUCUUCUAAUACAGGGGUGGCAUGACGGUACUGUAAGAAUAAGCACCGGCUAACUACGUAGCCAGCAGCCGAC